UUGGAGGGCAAGUCUGGUGCCCGCAGCCGCGGUAAUUCCAGCCCCAAUAGCGUAUAUUAAAGUUGUUGCAGUUAAAGAGCUCGUAGUUGAAUUUUAGGCCUGGCCAGGCGGUCCGUCUUUGGCGAGUACUGUCUUGUUGUCGGGUCUUCCUUCUGGUGAACCAGUAUGUCCUUUAUUGGGUGUGUUGGGGAGCCAGGACCAUUACCUUGAAAAAAUUAGAGUGUUUAAAGCGGGCUAUUGCUUGAAUAGAUUAGCAUGGGCUAAUAGAAUAGGACGUUGUGGUUCUAUUUUGUUGGUUUCUAGGACCACCGUAAUGAUUAAUAGGGAUAGUUGGGGGCAUUAGUAUUCAAUUGUCAGAGGUGAAAUUCUUGGAUUUAUUGAAGACUAACUAUUGCGAAAGCAUUUGCCAAGGAUGUUUUCAUUAAUCAAGAACGAAAGUUAGGGGAUCAAAGACGAUCAGAUACCGUCGUAGUCUUAACCAUAAACUAUGCCGACUAGGAAUCGGGCGUCGUUAUUUUAAUGACUCGUUCGGCGCCUUACGGGAAAC
rnacentral:rRNA from 1 species